UACAUGGGGUGCAAACGUUGCUCGGAAUUAUUGGGCGUAAGCGCGCGUAGGCGGUUACUUAAGUCGGAUGUGAAAGCCCUCGGCUUAACUGAGGAAGUGCACCCGAAACUGAGUAGCUAGAGUACGAAAGAGGGUCGCGGAAUUCCCGGUGUAGAGGUGAAAUUCGUAGAUAGUCGGGAAGGAACACCGGUGGCGAAGGCGGCGACCUGGGUCGAGACUGACGCUGAGGCGCGAAAGCGUGGGGAGC
rnacentral:rRNA from 1 species